GCCUCUUGUCACAUUGCUGGGCACUACUGAGCAGCACCUGGUCAAUCCUCUGACAACCUCUCUUCAGACACUGACAGACAAGGAUGAAUUCCCCUCUCAGAUCAUCUCUCCUUGAGGCUGAAUGACCCCAUCUCCCCCAGCCUUUCCUCGUAAGAGGGAUGCUCCAGUCUCCUCAUCAUGUUUGAGGCUGAAACUGCCUGCAGCAGGGGACAGCAGGUCCCACCUCCCCAGGUGCCUGUGCUGGGUGGGAGAUCACAGCCAGAAACAGAAACACGUGUGGUGCACACAGGAGAGCAGCAAUGUCUCUUCCCAUCCUUCACAAGCCACCAGGCUGCCAAAAAGUCUGAACUCCAUGCUGGCUAAGGGCAGCACUUGGCACCAGGGAGACCUCUGGUAUUCUGAGAGAGACCAGCUUCCAGAAGAGCAUCCUCUGAAAUGCAGAAAGAAGGAAGAGGGAGUUAGCAUGGAGGGCACACAUGGACAUCCUAACCUGGAAUGUGCAGGGGCUGCUGCUGCUCAGAGCUCUCACUGACCACCCCAGUAAAUGAGAGCCUAUUCCUGAGAGCAGGUUACCUAAAAAC